rnacentral:lncRNA from 1 species
AUGUCAAAUAAAAACAUUCUUCCUACUGUUGAGGGUUUUUACAUGCCUUUUUACAUGAUUUGAAUCCAUUUGUUCAUAUUCUAGGCUCUGGAGCAGCAGAAAGCAAGCUGACUUCAUCUUCUAUGAGACAUCCCAGCAGACAUUUAAAUAUUGGUAUCAUGUCAGAGUCAUGCAGUUUGAAAACAUGCAAAUCUUCUUCCAGCUAUGGUGCCCAGAAGUCCACACAGUUUUCCAGGAGGAAAAAGAAUACAGUGAUACCACUAAUCCCCUUGAUCUGGAUGCUAUAUUCUUGUUGAUUGCUUGGAGCUGAGCAGGACUGCAGCCAGAAAUUUUGAAUUGAAAAUGGUCUGAAUGUAACAAACAAUGUGUAGAACAAUUAUCUGCUUUACUCAUUAUUAAUUUGCUUUACUAUUGCUGUUAUAUCUUUCACCUUGUGAAUCAUUCAGCUCCAAGGAACUCUAGACAGUAUGAAUAGAGACGAUUAUGACUGGUUUUGGUCCAAAAUAUCCACAACAUGUCAGGUUCCUUGCUUAUGAUCUAAAUGAACAUUUCAUCCAAAUUCUAAAAAUGAUGUUGUCUAACAUUUUUCAGUAACAUGCAUAGAAUCACAAAGCUAUUUGUAAAAAUAAUUAUAAUACUUGGAUGCUUUUUUUAAAAAGAAAGUCAGGGGAUUUUACAGUUAAAUCAUACAGAUGUUAAAACCAAUUAAAAACCUACAAUAUGAAACAAUAUCUUCUCCCACCAGACAGACAGUCAGACAGAUAGUCUGAUUUCUAACUUGAAAGAAAUGAACACAGACUUUGGGCUCUAGUUUUUUUUCUUUUAAGCUUAGGAAAUAUAUUGUUUACUUACUCUGAAUGAUUUUGCCCACUUAUAAUACAUGGAAUUACAUCCUGUCAGCAUGGAUUUAAUUUAAGCUUAAUAAGACAUUUCUUCCACAUACUGUUAGCCAAAAUGUCACAUGGUUACUUGGGAGGAAAAGUCUAACUGUAUUGCUGCGAGCUAAUUUUACAGGAUGUUGUGAAACCUGAGUAAAUGUUCCUCACUGUUAUUUAACAUACAGUAAUGCUCACCAUGUCAUAAACUUUUUAAUGUAUUAAAUGUGAAUUGCCUUAUGCUUCAACAUGAAGUGGAUAAAAAUAAUAUUUUCUUCAUUCUGAGACAUAUCUAUUGAUAUGAAGAUUUCUUAGGGUACAUAUAGAUUC